rnacentral:rRNA from 1 species
ACAGAGGGUGCAAGCGUUAAUCGGAAUUACUGGGCGUAAAGCGCGCGUAGGUGGUUUGUUAAGUUGGAUGUGAAAUCCCCGGGCUUAACUUGGGAAUUGCGCUCGAAACUACUUGGCUCGAGUGUGGCAGAGGAAGGUGGAAUUCCACGUGUAGCGGUGAAAUGCGUAGAGAUGUGGAGGAACACCGAUGGCGAAGGCAGCCUUCUGGGCCAACACUGACGCUCAUGCACGAAAGCGUGGGGAGCAAACAGGA